rnacentral:rRNA from 1 species
UACGGAGGGUGCAAGCGUUAUCCGGAUUUAUUGGGUUUAAAGGGUCCGUAGGCGGGCUUAUAAGUCAGUGGUGAAAUCUCAUAGCUUAACUAUGAAACUGCCAUUGAUACUGUAAGUCUUGAGUGUAUUUGAAGUGGCUGGAAUAAGUAGUGUAGCGGUGAAAUGCAUAGAUAUUACUUAGAACACCAAUUGCGAAGGCAGGUCACUAAGAUACAACUGACGCUGAUGGACGAAAGCGUGGGGAGCGAACAGG